rnacentral:rRNA from 1 species
UAGGGAAUCUUCCGCAAUGGACGCAAGUCUGACGGAGCAACGCCGCGUGAGUGAAGAAGGAUUUCGGUUCGUAAAACUCUGUUGUUAGAGAAGAACAGCGCAUAGCGUAACUGUUAUGCGUGUGACGGUAUCUAACCAGAAAGCCACGGCUAACUACGUGCCAGCAGCCGCGGUAAUACGUAGGUGGCAAGCGUUGUCCGGAUUUAUUGGGCGUAAAGCGAGCGCAGGCGGUCAAUUAAGUCUGAUGUGAAAGCCCCCGGCUCAACCGGGGAGGGUCAUUGGAAACUGGUUGACUUGAGUGCAGAAGAGGAGAGUGGAAUUCCAUGUGUAGCGGUGAAAUGCGUAGAUAUAUGGAGGAACACCAGUGGCGAAGGCGACUCUCUGGUCUGUAACUGACGCUGAGGUUCGAAAGCGUGGGUAGCAAACAGG